CCUUCAUCGCCUCGCCAGCAUCAAUCAGCGCCAGGCCUGGAGAGAAGGGAUGGAAAAUAGACAGAGAGAGAGAGCGUGCAACGAUCACUGUGAUGCGUGAUCUGAUGGAGCUGAUCAUUUAUUUAGAUACUACUUUUUGGAUCAACCGGAGAGACUAAAGCGGGGAGUGUCAGAUGAUGGGAGCAACUUGGACUCCUCCCCCAACUCCCGUCCAAACUUCAACAUGGCGUCUCCCAGGACAGACUCAGCCUGUGGGUAACCAGGUCCCUUCUCCUGC